rnacentral:rRNA from 1 species
UGAUGGAGGGGGAUAACUACUGGAAACGGUAGCUAAUACCGCAUAACGUCGCAAGACCAAAGUGGGGGACCUUCGGGCCUCAUGCCAUCAGAUGUGCCCAGAUGGGAUUAGCUAGUAGGUGGGGUAACGGCUCACCUAGGCGACGAUCCCUAGCUGGUCUGAGAGGAUGACCAGCCACACUGGAACUGAGACACGGUCCAGACUCCUACGGGAGGCAGCAGUGGGGAAUAUUGCACAAUGGGCGCAAGCCUGAUGCAGCCAUGCCGCGUGUGUGAAGAAGGCCUUCGGGUUGUAAAGCACUUUCAGCGGGGAGGAAGGCG